rnacentral:misc_RNA from 1 species
AAGUCGUAACAAGGUUUCCGUAGGUGAACCUGCGGAAGGAUCAUUACCAAAUUUUCCCGUGGCCAAACACCGCGUGUGAACUGGACUGCUCAUUGCUCAUUGGGCCGGCGUGCUGGCCCAAUGUGUCUAACCCCACUGUGAACCGUUGACAGUCUGUCAUUAUUUUAUCGUGCGUCGCGACGACGCGCGUCUGAAACAACAAUACACAACUUUUAACGGUGGAUCUCUUGGCUCGC